UACGUAGGGGGCAAGCGUUGUCCGGAGUUACUGGGCGUAAAGCGCACGCAGGCGGUCUGUUAAGUUUGGAGUGACAGUUGGUGGCUUAACUGCCAAAGUGCUUCGAAAACUGAUCGACUUGAGGGCUUCAGAGGGACACGGAAUUCCGGGUGGAGUGGUGAAAUGCGUAGAGAUCCGGAGGAACACCAAAGGCGAAGGCAGUGUCCUGGGGAGUACCUGACGCUCAGGUGCGAAAGCCAGGGGAGCGAACGGG
rnacentral:rRNA from 1 species